GACGAACGCUGGCGGCGUGCUUAACACAUGCAAGUCGAACGGAAAGGCCCUGCUUUUGUGGGGUGCUCGAGUGGCGAACGGGUGAGUAACACGUGAGUAACCUGCCCUUGACUUUGGGAUAACUUCAGGAAACUGGGGCUAAUACCGGAUAGGAGCUCCUGCUGCAUGGUGGGGGUUGGAAAGUUUCGGCGGUUGGGGAUGGACUCGCGGCUUAUCAGCUUGUUGGUGGGGUAGUGGCUUACCAAGGCUUUGACGGGUAGCCGGCCUGAGAGGGUGACCGGCCACAUGGGGACUGAGAGACGGCGCAGACUCCUACGGGAGGCAGCAGUGGGGAAUAUUGCACAAUGGGCGGAAGCCUGAUGCAGAAACGCCGCGUGCGGGAUGACGGCCUUCGGGUUGUAAACCGCUUUCGCCUGUGACGAAGCGUGAGUGACGGUAAUGGGUAAAGAAGCACCGGCUAACUACGUG
rnacentral:rRNA from 1 species